UAUAUAUUUAUGGAAAGGGUUAAAGGAAUGAAAAUAGAAAAAAAAAAGUAAAUUAAAUUUACUUUUCUCUCUCUCCUCAACCCACACGCACGCAACCCUUUUUCCUUCCCUUCUUCUUCUUCUCUUCCUUUCAGCCCUAGCCGCCAGCACCUUCCAGCCGCUAGCCUUGCCGUUCCGGCGCCGCCGCAAGCAACGUCGCCGGAUCUCCUCGCCAGCGCCGCUGCAAGCAGCCUCAACUCGCCGGAUCUUCUCGCCAGCGCCACCACAAGCAGUGCCUCAUCGUUCCGUCGCCGCCGCCAUGAGUUCCAGCCUCCGCCGUGAGCUCCUCGUCGCCGCGAGCAGCGCCGCCUCCUUGUCGUUCUGUUCGCCGCCUCUGCCUUUUUGAGAUUAGGAUUUGGAUUUCGAGGCGUUGCUAACAAAGAAAUGACCAUUAUCUUCAUCGGAGAGUUUCAGUUUUGAUUGGCUACUUGAAUCAAGUUUUGGAAUUUGUCAAGCCACAACUUUGGGUUGAUUCAAGUUUUUCAAAGGUUUUAAGGAAUUAUUUGCGUGGACUUUUGUGACCAAGUUGAGGUAAAUGAUACAGUAAUGGUGCCUUGAUCUAGAUUAGACCUAUCAAGUUACUUGGAGCAUGAUUUUGUUUGAUAUUAUGUUUUGCUAGUUGCAUGGUGGUUACAAGUAUUAUGAGCAUGUUAAAAUUAUAAUCAGUACUAAUAUUAUAUAUGUGAUGCAUGAAUAGACCAAUAGAGCGGUUUAUUGUUUUGCCUUGACGCGUGUUAUUACUAUGUUUGACGGUGUGCCUACGGGCCGCUAGACAUGCGUGAACCGACAGGUUAACGUUCAUGUUACUAUCAUAUUUAACGGCGUGCCUACGGGCCGCUAGAAUGAACUGACAGGUUUACGUUCAUGUUACUUUUAUUUUCAUGUUUCAUGUUUUGAUGGUGUACCUACGGGCCGCUAGACAUGCGUGAACCGACAAGUUAACGUUCAUGUUAUUAUUAUGUUCGAUGAUGUGCCUACGGCCGCUAGGCAUGUGUGGGUCGACGGUUUCACGUUUAUGUUAUUAUCAUGUUUGACGAUGUGCCUACGGGCCGUUAGACAUGCGUUUCAAGGUAAGGGCAAGGACACUUGGGCGACUGACAAGAAGAAUCCGUGACAGUGCCAAAGGAACCAGAAUUUGCUUUCGCAUUUGACUGUUUAUAUUUUCGCAUGUUUUGUUUUUAUCCAUUGAUGGAUUUAUCAUGAUUUAAUUAAUUUAUUUAUCUAUCUAUUUAUUCAUAUUUUUUUUUUAUAUAAAUUGUUUCUUGUUAAAAAGGAUGGCCGGGUUGAACAAUUUAAGAUUUUGAGAUGUGUUAGAACAUUUUUUUUUUUAUAUACUUAAUGCAGUUUAAGAUUAUGAUUA